rnacentral:rRNA from 1 species
UGGGGAAUAUUGGACAAUGGGCGCAAGCCUGAUCCAGCCAUGCCGCGUGAGUGAUGAAGGCCCUAGGGUUGUAAAGCUCUUUCACCGGUGAAGAUAAUGACGGUGACCGGAGAAGAAGCCCCGGCUAACUUCGUGCCAGCAGCCGCGGCAAUACGAAGGGGGCUAGCGUUGUUCGGAUUUACUGGGCGUAAAGCGCACGUAGGCGGACUAGUAAGUCAGGCGUGAAAUCCCGGGGCUCAACCCCGGAACUGCCUUUGAUACGGGUAGUCUUGCGUUCGGAAGAGGUGAGUGGAAUUCCGAGUGUAGAGGUGAAAUUCGUAGAUAUUCGGAGGAACACCAGUGGCGAAGGCGGCUCACUGGUUCGAUACUGACACUGAGAUGCGAAAGCAUGGGGAGCAAACAGG